rnacentral:sRNA from 1 species
GCUGGGCACGGUGGCACAUGCCUGUAAUCCCAGUGGCUCAGGAGGCUGAGGCAAGAGAAUCAUGAGUUCAAAGCCAGCCUCAGCAAAAGUGAGGCACUAAGGAACUCAGUGAGACCUUGUCUCUA